rnacentral:rRNA from 1 species
UGUGCCAGCCGCCGCGGUAAUACGUAUGUCACAAGCGUUAUCCGGAUUUAUUGGGCGUAAAGCGCGUCUAGGUGGUUAUGUAAGUCUGAUGUGAAAAUGCAGGGCUCAACUCUGUAUUGCGUUGGAAACUGUGUAACUAGAGUACUGGAGAGGUAAGCGGAACUACAAGUGUAGAGGUGAAAUUCGUAGAUAUUUGUAGGAAUGCCGAUGGGGAAGCCAGCUUACUGGACAGAUACUGACGCUAAAGCGCGAAAGCGUGGGUAGCAAACAGGAU